rnacentral:rRNA from 1 species
UACGGAGGAGGCAAGCGUUAUCCGGAAUUAUUGGGCGUAAAGCGUCCGCAGGUGGCUAUUCAAGUCUGCGGUCAAAGACUGGGGCUUAACCCUGGAAAGGCCGUGGAAACUGAAGAGCUAGAGUGCAGUAGGGGUAGAGGGAAUUCCCGGUGUAGCGGUGAGAUGCGUAGAGCUCGGGAAGAACAUCGGUGGCGAAAGCGCUCUGCUGGACUGCAACUGACACUCAGGGACGAAAGCUAGGGGAGCGAAUGGG